GCAGUUUGACGCAAGAACUGAAGGCUAUUGAUGUCACUUUCUUCAAACAGUUCUGCUGACCCCUUUUUACCAUAGCUGCAAUUAUUCAGAUUUUGACACCACCUCUUCCUGCGCUCUAGGAUGGAAGUCUCUCAAGAUCUUUCCUGAUAAUACUGAGGAAGAUGUCAUUAGCAGGAGAUGCUGCCUAGCAUGAGACUACACUCUCAUGAGACUACAUGGUCUGGUCACUGGAAUCAGUCCGUCUGUAGCUCAGUGACAAAUGGCAGCUAAAAAGAAAAGAGGAGAAUGUAAUCAAUCUUCCCACCUUUAAAAAUAGUGAAAAAAAGGAGAAAAACUAAACUACUUUAAAACCUCAUUUGAGAUGAACAAUUAUCUGCAAGAUAAGAUGAAAAAUGGAGGACCAGGGGUGAAAUCAUAGGCUGAGUGAUGUCAUGGAAAUAAUGUCCUUAGAGGAGGACUUCAUGCCAAAACCCAGGAGCAGACAGAUUUCUGAGAAAGAUCUUGAUCAUCAAUAACUCCUUCUAAUUCAGUGGAAAUCACAGGUGGGCACUCGAUAUUUUGAAACUCCCUUGGUAUGCUCAGUACUUUGAAACUCCCUUGCUAUGUUAUCUUUCCUGUUCUAUUUCUGUCUGCUUUUUAUUCCUGUAUUGAUUUUAAUGGACUUCAAUUAAGGUCUCUUGUCUCAGAAUCUUUAGUGCUUUAUUUAUACAGAGCACAGACUGCUUUCAUUUUUUCCCCCCUCGGAAUCCUUAAAGCACUGGAAUUUUUAUUUAUUUUUUUCCCACUGGUAUAUUAUUUUAAUUGGGAUAAAUUUAGAAGCAUUUAGAUACCUUUCAAACCAUCUGUAGUUUCACUGAUGCGUAAUGACUUUAUGGAUAUAUUUUGAUAAUUGACAUUUUAUUUCUUGCCAUCCGAAUGAUAUUAAAAAAGUUCAGAUUUGGUUAAAACUGUAUUUUAGUCUCGAAGAAAUUCAUAAACCAUUCCAUCACUAGCUACAGCAAAUGGUACAAGAGUUUUAGAUCAGGAGAACAUAAUUCCCUAUUCAAUAAUUAACAUCACUUCUUCCUCCUCACAUUUCACAUUUAUGGGAAUAUAGCUUGAAUUUUAAGAUUAGCACCUCUGUCUACUGCCAACUCCUCCCCUCAUCUUUCCAACCACUGUAAAUCUUCACUACCCACUGCCAAUGAAGCACAAUAUCAAUUAUGUACAAAUAAAUCUAUGUAAAACCACUGCACAAUUUCCUUCUUGAAAAAGCAAGGGCAAUCACAAUCAGCAUCAGUAACCAGAAUCUUUGGAAGAGAAUAUUUUCAUUCAAAAUUAUGUUCUCACUAAUUGGCUAGAUUUCCACUGUCACUCUGGUAUGUUAUGUAUAUCUGAGGGAUGGAAUUGCCCUCAGAGACUCCAAGAGUGGCUUUCAGGGAAUAGAGAUCAAUGAAGCAGAGUCUUGCUGUGGUCAGAGUUUGACUUACUUUGUACAUAUGCACAUCAAUCUCAUAAUAAAGUCAUAAGCAUGCAAUCUAUGAUCCUUUCUUCUAUAAACUUUAACCCAUGUACCGCAGUUCAGUUCCCAGAAAGCUAUUCUAUCUUGGGAACUGCCUUGAAAGAUAGAGAAUAAAAUGAAAGAACAUGUUCUCAGCUAUCUGACAAUUUCUCUCAAAGGAUUGCUCUUCAGGAGAACAAAGGAUAACAGAGUAUUUUCUAGACAAAAUCUCUGCUUUUCCUUUUUCCUUUUAAAUAAACAAACAAAUAAAUAAAAAUUAUCUAGUACCUCCUACUGUGACAUGAUAAAUCAAUAAUACUUUUCACAGAAUGACAGUGGAAACAAAUAUGUCUAUAAUCAAGUUCCUCCUUAGUAUUUAAAACCCACUCUCUCACAUGCAUCUGCAUGUUAAAAUUGGAUAACCUAUUCUUCAUUAUACCUCAGAUGACUGAAGUGGUUUUACAGGCACAGAAAGUUUCUUCCACCACAGAAAUGAAUUUUCUUUUGGUAAUAUUAUUGUGUAUAAAUCACCCCUUCCACAACAAAUUUUAACCUCAUGCUCCUCUUCUUGGUAACCUACCCAACAAAACCUGUGGCUAAACUUCAUUUUCCUUGAUGUGUACCUAUCUAGUGGCCAGGAAAAAAAUGGACCUCUGUGCCAGUAUGCUAUAAAAGAACAUAAAUUAAAAAAUUCCUAGGUCAAGACAACUUCCCUUAUUUCCUCUUUAACAUCCCGUGCCCUAUAGUGCUGGCACAGCUGAAGAGAAGGUGUGGAGCAAGACUGCUAAGUGAGCACCAUGCCAUCAAACCAAAGGACUCUGUUGGACACAAUCUGUAUUUCUGGUUAGAAAACCAGCACCAGCUCCUGAAUCUUCAAGAGAGAACAUUUGCUUUUUGGAAGUCCACUUUAUCCACUCAAUUUGCCGAUAGAUAAAGCUCCUUCAACACCACCUCUUAUCUCCCAGCAAGGCAAAGGUAGCUUUAAACACCACAGACUUUUAGCAGCAUAAUACAUUUCCAGGAGCAAUAGCCCACAUCUUUAUUCAUGGUGUGAAUGAUGAUCUGAGUAGUAAUAAUGAAAUAGGGUGGCAAAGGUUUUCCAUUGUGAACUAGUAUUAAUCUAAUUUCCUACAGGAUGCUUGUCUAAGUCAGAAAAAAAGCAAGCAGUUUAAAAUUCUUUGGCAAGUCCCUGAUGAAGAGUAGCCUGGGAAGUGUUAAGGAUUGCUGGAGAAUGCUAAAUUACAUUCACUCAGCUCUACUGAGAAGGCUAAGCUGAUUUUGGCAGGAUUUUCAUAGUAUAUAUCCAUUGCAAAUUGGCUUCUUAUUUUUAGGAAUAUUAAGAGUUAUCAACAUUAAAAAAAUCCAGCAAUGAGCAUUGAAGGCUUUUGGAAAUGAAUAAUGACAAUUCUACCAUACUGUAGAUUUUUACAUAAAUAUGACAAAUGAAGGGUUUUUAAAAUUAUUAAAUAUGAUAUUAUUUCAGACCAAGUAGGCAUUUUGUGGCUGUGUAUGUCAAAAAAAAUUCUUCACCUGGUUUUAAUGGCCAGCUGUUUCCAAUAUACAGAAGAGGCAUCGGCUGCCUACUGUCAUGAACCCAUUUAGAAGAUGGCAGCAGAGCAGCUUCUUCCUGCAGUUCCCUUUCCAUUUGAAUGCAAUUUCUCUGUUUUACCAGUAUAGAACACAGGUGCUGCUGGUUACGGGUUGUGUCUUUAUACUUCACAAUGCUUCCAGAAAUGAUGGAGCCCAACUGGUUCCACUUCCAUGGGGACAGGUUUGAGUCUUUCCCAGAAAAAGGACAGGUUGAUAGCUGGACUAAUUAAUCUUAGCUGUUUUUCCAACUUUGAUGAUUCUAUGAUUCUAAAUAUCAGCUUCUUGAACUCUUCUUACAAUUCCUAACAGUAUUUUUGCUAUCUUCCCCACUGAGACUGCUUCUAAUGCUAAGGAAAUUAAUAAUUAAUAAUUUUUUUAAUGGCAAUGAGCCUUUCCACAUAGGCGUACCAAAGGGAAGGUUGUUUACUGUUCCAGUUCUGCUUUGUACUUUGGUACAGCCUAAGCUGGUGCCGGUGCUGGAAGAUAUGCAGGGCCACGCUGGAAAGCCAGGCAUUUGGUCCUGGGCCAAGCUCUCCUCCACCUGAGCCCAAUGCAGCUCAAUGUUGCAGUUUUAGUUAACCCACUUCUUCCAUUCCCCACUCAGCUUCACAUGACAACCAGCCCAACUGAGCAGCACAUAGAAAAACAUCACUUUGGAUAUCACUUCCCCUGCUAACAGAAUCCCUGCCUCAGUACCAGGGCAAACUGUAAUGCCAGCAUUGAGAUGCAACCAGCCCCGUCUGUUCUCUGAGCCCAGCCCUCUCUCAAGAAGCCUUGAUCCAUCCAUAAAUGUGUGAUCAUCAUCUGAGAUUGAGCAUCUCACCAGCCCGGUCUGGCUCUGCCCACAGAAAUGUUGCACAGUGCGUCUCAGCCAGGAGCAGUUCCCACCGCUUCCCAUCAAAGCAUCCUCCCAUCAACAGAGGAGCUGAGAGCAGAGGAAGAGCACCUUGAUGUAAAAUAAUAGAAGCUCUUUUUGCUCCACUCCUCAGACUGUUCUGCACUUCUUUCAGGCAGGAUGAGUCCUGCCGUUUCACUGCAAAUGCUCUGUAUAGAAAGUAUAUGUACAUUAAAUUGCCUCUGUGACCAUGUUUGACUCCUGCUCUACAAAUAAAUGGGAGUAGAUAGAUAGCUGCCUUCCCUCAGGAACUUCUGUCUGCAGAAAACUGUGGAUCAUUGAGAUAUGCAGAUGAAACAUCUCUUUCCCUCCACCAAGAUAUGAAAGCAGAGAGCUCCUUCCCCUUCUGAGCUUUAGGCCAAGGGGCUCCGACACACACCGAGCAAAUGGGAAGAUGUGUGAUUAGGUAACUUCCAAACUUCAGAAACAUUUCCAUUUCAAAUUCUGACUUCCUGCAAUGCACAUACUCUUCUGUAACCAGGCUCCGAGGCAAUUUAUUAACAACUCCAGAGGAGUGAUAUCUGCAGAAUCUGUUUUUCAGUUUUUGACAGCUGAGCAGGGCUAAUAUUCCUGUUCCAGACUGCCAUCACGGGAGCAGUGCAUAUUCUGUAUAUUCAACAAAGAAGUGUCCUUUGAAGGUGUAAAUGAAAUAGCUUAUCUGAAGUAGAGAUAAAAAAUCAAUUUAAAACAUUUUAGAUCGUUUAUCAGCACGUAAGAAAAAAUAAACAAGAUUGACCAGACUUUAUUAAAAAGGUUUUAAACCGCAAACUACCAGGUUGCAUUUCCUGUUCACUAAAUUAAGCAUUUCAGUGGAUAGCA